AAAGGAAUUGACGGGGGCCCGCACAAGCAGUGGAGUAUGUGGUUUAAUUCGAAGCAACGCGAAGAACCUUACCAGGGCUUGACAUAUAUCUGAAUAUACUAGAGAUAGUAUAGCCUUUCGGGGCAGAUAUACAGGUGGUGCAUGGUUGUCGUCAGCUCGUGUCGUGAGAUGUUGGGUUAAGUCCCGCAACGAGCGCAACCCCUAUGGUUAGUUGCCAGCACAUAAUGGUGGGAACUCUAGCCAGACUGCCGGUGAUAAAUCGGAGGAAGGUGGGGACGACGUCAAAUCAUCAUGCCCUUUAUGUCCUGGGCUACACACGUACUACAAUGGAAGUAACAGAGGGAAGCAAAGCAGCAAUGCGGAGCAAAACCCAAAAAGCUUCCACAGUUCGGAUUGAAGGCUGAAAUUCGCCUUCAUGAAGCCGGAAUUGCUAGUAAUGGCAGGUCAGCAUACUGCCGUGAAUACGUUCCCGGGCCUUGUACACACCGCCCGU
rnacentral:rRNA from 1 species